rnacentral:rRNA from 1 species
UACGAAGGGGGCUAGCGUUGUUCGGAAUUACUGGGCGUAAAGCGCACGCAGGCGGUCCGUUAAAUUAGAAGUGAAAGCCCUGGGCUCAACCUAGGAAUAGCUUUUAAGACUGGCGGACUCGAAUCCAGAAGAGGGUAGUGGAAUUCCCAGUGUAGAGGUGAAAUUCGUAGAUAUUGGGAAGAACACCAGUGGCGAAGGCGACUGCCUGGUCUGGCAUUGACGCUCAUGUGCGAAAGCGUGGGGAGCAAACAGG